AAUUUAUAGUAUUAAUUAAAAAAAUUCUCAGUCAUCUCUAUAAAUAGCCUCUUGUAUGUAUUGCUUGUGGAUUGAUAACUUGAAAGAGAGAAUGGUUUAUAACAUCAACAGCGUCUGUUUUGUCAUUGCAUUGCUAUGCAUGGCAUCCAUUUUGAAUCCAGGAGGAGUUAUUGAUGCAACAACAACUAGUGAUAAUCCCUUUGAUAUUUGCACCACCCACGGGCCAUGUCCAAAUAUUUCUGAUGACGACUGUAGUGAUUAUUGUUUGGAAAAAUUGACGUUUUCUUUUGGUGGCAAGUGCUUUGAGAAUGAAUGUUGUUGUUCUACUGGAUAUACCUUCAUAUGAUUUUAGUUUAUAAUGUUUAAUUGAUGUUAUAUAUUUUGAAAAUUUGUCCACUUGUCCAAAAAUUAUAGUAAUUAAAGAAGUAGAAAAAGAAAAAAAAAAUGGAUAAUAAAUAAAUACAUCGAUUUUAGUUUUAAAUGUCAUUUUUAAAUUUCUCAUUUUAUUAAUUCAUGGUUGGUUUACAAGAUUAUAUCAUUCAUUUGUUUUGCCAA